CAAGCAGGGCUCGUGUGGCUGGUGGCUGUUAGGGCUUGGGUGCUCAGCCAGUUCAGUUCUCACCACCCAUUCACCGUCGUCUCCAUGGUUCCGACAUUUCUGCAAUACUAGGAUUCACGAGGCUUCACUUCGAGACAUAGGAAAUUGUUUCUCAGAAAACGACCAAAGCAGUAGGAUUCCUCUGACAUCAGCCCCAGGAAAAGAAAGCAUUUGCUUUAUCUCCAUGGAGACCCGAGACAAACAAAUUCCAGGUAGACCCAGAGCUGGCCCUUCAGAUCACCAUGACAACAAAUAACUCUGAAGGUAGAGAUAGACCGUUCAGGAGUUCAAGGUCUUCCUCAGCUACACGGUGAGUUUGAGACCACCAAGCAAUCAAGCAAGCAAGCAAGUCACCCAUGUCCACAGGACCGUACUGGAGAACUCAUUUCCCGAGUCAGUGGGGUUCGGAAGCAGGAACGAUGCUUCUCUGACACAAGUCUCACAGCUCGGCCAGGAGUGCUGCUGCCCUCAGUACUCAGGAUCCAUCACUACUGUGGGAGGAAAAGCAGACCCUCAACUGAACUGCCAGGCCAUCAACACAGUUCCAUGUGAAUGCUGGAGUCUUACAAAGAGGGUUGAAGGCUGAGGGCUGGGGUGUAGCUCAGCGGGAGAGCACCUGCUUCAUCCCCAGCUACAUUUCCAGUGCCACCCAAAACAAAACAAGACGAAAGUCAGCCCAGGAAAAUCCAGAUUCAAUCUACAGAAACCAAUGCAGAGCUGUGGCCUCACUCAGGGCAACAUCGUCUGCCUACACAAGCUGGUGUGACAGACAGACGGACGGGGAUCACAGUCACGGUGACUAUGCACACCAGGGGGAACGAUUUUUGUAAAGAAGUUAAAUUCAUGUCUCUUGACUGCCUUUUUCAUAAAAAUGCUUUAAAUUCAUGAGUUUCAUGAUGGCAUACUGUAUAUUCUGCUCAGAUUCACUCUUUCCUGUUCUUCUGCAUUCUGUGGGCUCCCAUCCUUCUCCCAGUAGAGAUAGUCUCUGGUCUACUUUCAUGUCUCUCUCUCUCUCUCUCACACACACACACACACACACACACACACACACUCCUACGUUGUGCAAAGGAGAGAGAGCACAUGUCAUAUUUUGCCUUUCUCAUGUCUGGCUCACUUCACUUAAUAUGAUGAUCUCCAGUUCUGUUUUAUGCAAAUGACAAAAUCUCAGUCUUUUCUUUCUUUUCUUUUCUCUCUUUGUUUCUUUGUUCUUUUCUCUCUCUUUCUUUCUCCUUCCU